UCGUUUCGACUAUUCAUCUUCUUUUAGAAAAUUUCGUUAACAUAUUUUCUUAUUUCCUUGCAGAUGACUUUCAGGCGUAACAACAGGAAGAAGUAAAAAUGAGUGUACAUACUGGAAGGUGCAACCCUGUCAGGAAACAAUAUGGUGGGUCAUGUUACUUGGGGGUCUCAGAGACCAGGGACUGGGAAGAGGGCCCAAGUACAACCUACAAGGAACAACCAUCAAUUCACAGAUGGAGGACGUGAAAAAGAAAGAGAGUGGGCGGAUGGAGUGAAGGAUGAAGGCUGGGUAGACGACUGAACAGAGAGAGAGAGGCUCUACGCGGCUGUUCAUCCAUUCAUCGCCAUGGGCUCUUGUCCUCGUCUCUCCUCCCCUGCUCCACCCUCCCAUCCCAGGGCCCUUUGAAGCGAGUGCGGCCCCAAAAAGGAGCU
rnacentral:lncRNA from 8 species